rnacentral:rRNA from 1 species
UUAGUGGCGGAAGGGUUAGUAAUACAUAGAUAAUCUGUCCUCAACUUGGGAAUAACGGUUGGAAACGACCGCUAAUACCGAAUGUGGUAUGUUUAGGCAUCUAAAACAUAUUAAAGAAGGGGAUCUUCGGACCUUUCGGUUGAGGAAGAGUCUAUGGGAUAUCAGCUUGUUGGUGGGGUAAUGGCCUACCAAGGCUUUGACGUCUAGGCGGAUUGAGAGAUUGACCGCCAACACUGGGACUGAGACACUGCCCAGACUUCUACGGAAGGCUGCAGUCGAGAAUCUUUCGCAAUGGACGAAAGUCUGACGAAGCGACGCCGCGUGUGUGAUGAAGGCUCUAGGGUUGUAAAGCACUUUCGCUUGGGAAUAAGAGAG